AAGAAAACGAAGAAGAGGAUUAGUAGAUUGAUUCUGUCAUUUUAGAGAGGGAGCUGUAUGGCUGAAAGGCUUCUACUGACAAACGAUUGAACCUGCCUCUGAGUUCUGUAUCUUAUUUUAAGAUAUUCAGCGGUUAAAUACCGUUAUCAUGAAAGAGUGUAAAGCGAUGCUUUGAAUUAGGGUGGUACCGCCAAGAAAUUGGUCCCUAAU
rnacentral:ncRNA from 1 species